rnacentral:misc_RNA from 1 species
UGUCGUUCUUUAUAUCCGAUGAUUAUAUAUAUAUAUAUUACAUUAUAAAUAGGUUUAAUUUUGUCUCACAGGGCAUCUAUAAUUUUCUCAUUCCCAUUUGCUCCUAAGAUGCUGAGUGUGCUUGAAUUCAUAAGUAAGCACCAAGCUUCCAUCCAUUCUCUUCAAUGCAAACCUCUCAACCAACAGAUAGCAACCAAAUCUCCUCCCCUCCACUCACCCAUGCCUUGAAGCUCUUCCACUUUGUUCACCUUCACAUGCCUUUCACCAACACCAAUCCACCCAAACCUCUCUUGCUCCCAUUUCAUUCUCUCAAAAACUGCUAAACUCAAGCCUAAAUUUGCUUCUUCUCCUGCAUUGUUAAUGCCUUUAAACCACAUCCCCCCGUCAGCCACAAUGCUCCCAGCUUUUCCUCCAGCAACUGCAGCCACUUCUGUUUCAACGACAGCGUCCACAGUCGCAACGUUGCCACUAUUAUAGCUAUUUUCGCAAGCGAAAAUUUGUUCCCAUUGUUGUUCAAGUGUCAUCUCAUAGUACCUUGAUCUAUUCACCUGAUCUUCAAGAGUUCCAUCUUUGAUAAAUAUGAAAGGACAAUACCACUUUCCUACUACCGCAGGUGCGGAACUUUUUUGAGACAAUGGGAAGUUGAAGUCUGGAAGGCGGGAUCGGAGAAUUUUGUCAAGGCCUGGUGCUUCAUUUAGCUCGAAUUUAGUUGAAGUUGAGGUUUGCACUGCCCAACCUUUUCUCCUCAAGAAAUCUGGAGGGAACCCAUCUGAAGGUACAGAUUUAGCAACAAAUCCCCCGCACCAACUUCUGAUAUAUGUCCUGUGCCUGAUGAUCAAAAGGUUGCGGUUUCAAAUCAGAAAUACAUCUACAAAAACAGCAUGUUGUCAUGUCCUCCUCCUUGGAGUUUCUGUAAGCUUCCCCUUUACGCUUUCCAUGUCGUUCUAUGCAGUAAUAUUGAUUGGAAGAUAGUGGUUGGUUGAGAACAGGAAUGAAGAUAACAGAGUUUGGGGGAGUAUGUGUUGAAUACACUACCGUCAAGUUCUUGUUUUGAGGAAAAGGUAAGUCUGUAACUUGAUAACUCCGGCACAAUCCAAAACAACAAGUAGGCUCAGCUUCUUCAUCUUGGAUUACCAAUAUUCCAGAAUUUGGACCGUCAGGAGGAGGUAAUGAAAGAGCUGAAGG